rnacentral:tRNA from 1 species
UCCCUGGUAGUCCAAUGGUUAGGGCUCUAUACUUCCUCUGCAGGAGACCUGGGUUCAAUUCCCGGUCAGUAAA